rnacentral:tRNA from 1 species
CUUGGGCUGUAGCUCAGUGGGAGAGCACUCACCUAGCAAGUAUGAGGCAAUGGAUUUGAUCCUCAGCACCACAUAAAAAUAAAAUAAAGGUAUUGUGUCCAUCUACAACUAAAAAUAUAUAUUUUUUAAAAAGCUAAUAUUGGUGCUUGGGAUGUAACUUAGAGGUAAAACAAAUGCUUAGUAUGUGCAAGGCCCUAGGUUUGAACCCCAGCGCCAAGA